rnacentral:lncRNA from 1 species
CGCAGCGAUAACGUACCUGUCAAUCUCAUUUCCCAGAAAAGUAGUCCCUCUCACAUGCAACUACUUGCUUCUGUUGUCAAAUGUAUUCAUUUAUUUAGCCACCUUUUAAAAUAUUUUUUGUUCACAAAAUAACCCUUCUAUAUUCUUAUUGCCCAAAAAUGAACAGAAUAUUUACAUUAAACAGUAAAGUCCUAAGCAAGAUGGCUGCAUUACUGCGCGAAAUAGUGGCAUCCUGGUAAAAUGACGCAAACCAUAGUUUACGUUCAGUGAAGUGGUAAUACGGUUUCCAUCCACACGCUGUAGCGCCAGCUCCCGCCUGACUGUCUGCGUAAAGCUCGGCGAAUCUCAAGUGGACCGAGAGGAAUUGGUUCAGUAAACGUUCUCUUUUGUUGUUCCUUGACUCGGGCUGUGAUUGCCUGGCGCUUUCCUUCCUGUGUCUUGGGGUUCGGCUCUCGGACAUGUCUCUGUUAGACAAAUCUGCAUGCGUCAGGAGAAAGGAGACUAUAGGGGAAAUGGAGUACUAUAGUAGCAACAUAAACAGAGGACACCUGGGCUGUCAUAAAGACAAUCACCUUUAUGCAGUAUCUAGGUGAGAGUGCGAUGAGGAGAGGAGCCAGAGAGUGAGGCGAUGGGCUGCACCUCUGCUAAGCAGGUGUCGGCCGUGCCCAGCGAUGAGGAGGGCCGGGGCAAGGCCUACAGCAACGGAGACCUCUUCACCGACGAGUACAAGAUGAAGGGAGUGGAGGAGGUGAAGUACAUGCGUGGAGAGGAGGACCGGGUGAACGCACGCAACCAGGAGAACCUGGAGAAGACCUCUUUACAGUACAGGGGGAAACCGCACAAAGAAGGCUCUGGAGCCAACGCCAACAGGACAAAUAUCCACACAUCAGAGAGCCAGCAGGAGUUCUUCAGGAUGUUGGAUGAGAAGAUUGAGAAGGGACUGGACUACUGUUCAGAGGAAGAAGAGGCAGAGGAUGGGACAUAGCAAACAAGGCCUGACUCAACCCCCUACAGAGAGCCUCCCAGAGUGUGUGCGAGUGCAUGUUCGUCUGAAUCAGUGUGUGUAUGUUCCACUGCCUUUGUAUGUGAUUCUGUAUGUGUCUGUGUGAGCAUGUAGGUUUUUGGUGUGUGAAAGAGCGAUGGAUAGCUAUUCUCAAAGACUGUUGCCCCCCUCUUGGCUGUCGUCCCAUUGGGCCCCUGAGUGGAUUACUGGAGGGAGAGACGAACGAGGAGACAUACAGACAGACAUGUGGACUCACUACCCUGCAGGACUAUGGAGAGAUGCACAUGGAGACAGACAAACGGACAUGUGGACUCACUGCCCUGCAGGACUAUGGAGAGACCCUCCCCUCUAUCCCAACUACCACCCCAGUGAACUGUACUGUGGUCCCUGGUCCAGCUUUGUGUAUACCACCCCCUCAUCACUACAACAUGGAGAAGGAGGACGGACAGAGGAAGAAUGAGCCUUACGGCAGUCUGGGAGACACCCUCCUGGCUUCCACCCUCCAUGGCCCUGACUACUGUGCUUUGCCUGUGAGGAGCAGAGAUGUGGAUAGAGAAAGAGGGGUGCUGGGGAGGGGGUGGUACUUCCAUAACCCCCAUCACAGAGGCUCGCUGCUGCAGUGGGCCAGAGAGGAUCCGAGAGAGGGAAGGGGUAGGGGGAGGGAGGGAGGGAGGGAAAGAAAAAUCUAGAUAUUUUAAUAAGAGAAAGAAGAGUCAGUGAGUGGCUUAUUUUGAAAUUCUGAACUCCUGCCUUUUUGAAGGACUUUUUUAUUAUGUUGAUCCAGUUCAUUAUUUUUGGUUUAUUUUAAUGUUUUUUUUUUUAAAUUAUUAUUAUUUGGCUUCUAUCAUAGUGCAUCACCUCCUGCAGGCUACAGCUCUAUAGGUCAGAGUUCCUGUGUCACUACACCUGUCCUCUUAAAUAUACCCUCAACGCUAAUAUACCAGACCCUGGCUAUGUGAAACACACUCCACUUCAUAUUCAUAGAUGCAGACACAGAAGUGCACACUCAUACUUUCAGAUACACACAGACAAAUGCAGAUAGACUCAUACACACACAUAUGCCAUUGUAUUCCUGUCGUUCUUUAGCCGCGUGUUAUGUAAGUAUGUUAAUAGGCUGUGAUGUUGAGGGUUUUGGGUGAAUGUUGGAACCAGCAGCUGUGGGUUUCUGCUGCUGGACUUCUUCAUGUUCACUUGUUGUGUUUAUUACUCUUUCCUCUGCAUUGGUAGCCCAGCCUCCACUUCUCUUCAACUCAGCAGUAUUGAUGCUUACUGGCAGCGUGGAGUCACCCUCUGUUGACACACACACACCCACACACCGCCUUUUCAUGGAAGUGAGAAGUGAGAUUUAAAGGAAAAGAGGUGUGGUUGCCUGGGAGACAAAGCCCUGAACGUUCUUCUGUCAUCAUUACUGGAUCGUUCCUUUUUCAUUUGAUUUUCAGUACUUUUUGUUUUUCUAUUAAAAAUAAAAACACAGGAGCUGUUCAUCUGCUGUGUGUAUCUAUCAGUGGUGGAAAAAGUACCCAAUUGUCAUACUUGAGUAAAAGUAAAGAUACCUUAAUAGAAAAUGACUCAAGUCAAAGUCACCCAGUAAAUUACUACUUGAGUAAAAGUCUAAAAGUAUUCGGUUUGAAAUAUACUUAAGUAUCAAAAGUAAAAGUAUGAAUAAUUAAAAAAUUACAAUUAUUAAGCAACCCAGACUGCACAGUUUUUUAUUUACAGAUAGCUAGGGGCACACUCCCAACAGUCAGACAUCAUUUACAAACGAUGCAUUUGUUUAGUGAGUCCGCCAGAUCAGAGGCAGUAGGGAUGACCAGGGAGGUUCUGUUGACAAGUGUGAAUUUUACAAUUUUCUGUCCUGCUAAGCAUCCCAAAUGUAAGAAAUACUUUUGGGUGUCAGGGGAAAAUGUAAGGAGUAAAAAGUACAUUAUUUCCUUCAGGAAUGUAGUGAAGUAAAUGUUGUCAAAAAUAUAAAUCGUAAAGUAC